rfam:Anopheles gambiae str. PEST chromosome 3R, whole genome shotgun sequence.
UGCACUCAGUAAUGGAUCGGAUGGGAUCCGAAGCCCUCCAAGGGAUAAUACAGGCUCUCUUAUUUUUAACUCCUAUUUUGACACGUCCUCGUCGUGCAGAGUGGUAAUAUGUGCCUCCAUAUAUACUUGGGUGCACGGGGUAGAUCCAACCCCUUGGUGAGUAUCCCGGGAAACUGGGUGCCUGAACGUCGGGGGGG